GCAAUUUUUGAGAAUGGUUUUGCCAUGUGGCACUUCUUACAUUGUACAAAAUUGCAAAAGCAAUUGGGUUUUUUGCUUGCCUCGUUGUUUUAUCAAUCAAUAAACAAUGCAGGCCAAUGAAAACCUGGACAA
rnacentral:snoRNA from 1 species